CGCUGAAGCUUGGUGCUUGCACCGAGCGGAGGAGUUGCGAACGGGUGAGUAACGCGUAGGUAACCUGCCUCUUAGCGGGGGAUAACUAUUGGAAACGAUAGCUAAUACCGCAUAAAAGUCGACAUUGCAUGAUGUUGACUUGAAAGGUGCAACUGCAUCACUAAGAGAUGGACCUGCGUUGUAUUAGCUAGUUGGUGAGGUAACGGCUCACCAAGGCGACGAUACAUAGCCGACCUGAGAGGGUGAUCGGCCACACUGGGACUGAGACACGGCCCAGACUCCUACGGGAGGCAGCAGUAGGGAAUCUUCGGCAAUGGACGGAAGUCUGACCGAGCAACGCCGCGUGAGUGAAGAAGGUUUUCGGAUCGUAAAGCUCUGUUGUAAGAGAAGAACGAGUGUGAGAGUGGAAAGUUCACACUGUGACGGUAACUUACCAGAAAGGGACGGCUAACUACGUGCCAGCAGCCGCGGUAAUACGUAGGUCCCGAGCGUUAUCCGGAUUUAUUGGGCGUAAAGCGAGCGCAGGCGGUUAGAUAAGUCUGAAGUUAAAGGCUGUGGCUUAACCAUAGUACGCUUUGGAAACUGUUUAACUUGAGUGCAGAAGGGGAGAGUGGAAUUCCAUGUGUAGCGGUGAAAUGCGUAGAUAUAUGGAGGAACACCGGUGGCGAAAGCGGCUCUCUGGUCUGUACUGACGCUGAGGCU
rnacentral:rRNA from 1 species